GCUACUGCCGGCGGUCACGUGCUGGGCACUGGCUCCAGCCCAGACCGGCCGGGACCGAGCAAGGCGGGUCAGAGCCGCUGCGCGCUAGGGCGCCUCCAGGACCUGCGGUCGUGAGGAGGCCGGUCCGAGCCCGGGCCUUCCCCGCGGUGGCAGGCAGAGGUGACGUGGCUCUCUGGCUGCUGGGCGCGGGACGGAGGCAGGGCAGGCUGUCGCUGUUACUUGGGUCAUCCCGUGUGUCUUGUCACCUAGCAGCCCGACCUCAGGCCUGGAAGAAGGCCUAAGGCCUCUGCAAGGUUGUGUUCCAGCCCAGAGGGAUGAAGGUGAUAUGGCCUUCCAUGGAGGAUGCAGGUGGGCCCUGCCAUCAAGCCAACAAACAAACAGAAGUGGCCCCAGGGAACAGGUGAAGUUUCUGAAGCAAGAAUUUAUUCCAAGUGUACAUAUGGGUGUGGACCACAACCACAGAACCUGCAUCACUAAGUGGAAACACACAUUCUAAACAGAUCACCGGUCUCUCACAACCCUGCCCUUUCCUGGCCACCUUCUGACCUGAGUUCACAAGGAGAGGGCCUCCUAAUUCCCAAACAAAACAUAGGUACCUAAGGGCUGAGAGAAUUACACAUCCUUAUUUUUAUUAAUGUCUACCAAGAAAUAAAGCACUUCCUGCCUG